AUUGAGCGCUGGCGGCAGGCCUAACACAUGCAAGUCGAGCGGAUGAAGGGAGCUUGCUCCUGGAUUCAGCGGCGGACGGGUGAGUAAUGCCUAAGAAUCUGCCUGGUAGUGGGGUAUAACGUCCGGAAACGGGCGCUAAUACCGCAUACGUCCUGAGGGAGAACGGGGGAGAUCUUCGGACCUCACGCUAUCACAUGAGCCUAGGUCGGAUUAGCUAGUUGGUGGGGUAAAGGCCUACCAAGGCGACGAUCCGUAACUGGUCUGAGAGGAUGAUCAGUCACACUGGAACUGAGACACGGUCCAGACUCCUACGGGAGGCAGCAGUGGGGAAUAUUGGACAAUGGGCGAAAGCCUGAUCCAGCCAUGCCGCGUGUGUGAAGAAGGUCUUCGGAUUGUAAAGCACUUUUAGUUGGGAGGAAGGGCAGUAAGUUAAUACCUUGCUGUUUUGACGUUACCAACAGAAUAAGCACCGGCUAACUUCGUG
rnacentral:rRNA from 1 species